AACGAACGCUGGCGGCAUGCCUAACACAUGCAAGUCGAACGAAGUCUUCGGACUUAGUGGCGCACGGGUGCGUAACGCGUGGGAAUCUGCCCUUGGGUGCGGAAUAACUUCUCGAAAGGGAUGCUAAUACCGCAUAAUGUCGUAAGACCAAAGAUUUAUCGCCCAAGGAUGAGCCCGCGUAAGAUUAGCUAGUUGGUGGGGUAAAAAGCCUACCAAGGCGACGAUCUUUAGCUGGUCUGAGAGGAUGAUCAGCCACACUGGAACUGAGACACGGUCCAGACUCCUACGGGAGGCAGCAGUGGGGAAUAUUGGACAAUGGGGGAAACCCUGAUCCAGCAAUGCCGCGUGGGUGAUGAAGGCCUGGUGUAAGCCUUGUCGGGACGGAGUGAUGACGGUA
rnacentral:rRNA from 1 species